rnacentral:rRNA from 1 species
GCAAGUCGAACGAGAAAGCAUCUUCGGAUGUGAGUAGAGUGGCGCACGGGUGAGUAACACGUGGGUAACCUGCCCCUUGAUGGAGGAUAACCAGGAGAAAUCCUGGCUAAUACUGCAUAAGUUGGUAACAAUAAAGGAUGCUUCGGCAUUCGUCGAGGGAUGGGCCCGCGGAACAUUAGCUUGAUGGUGGGGUAAUGGCCUACCAUGGCUACGAUGUUUAACUGGUCUGAGAGGAUGAUC